rnacentral:lncRNA from 1 species
AAAAACUUAAUCUGUUUGUAUAGACUGAUGAAUUAAAUCUUGAAUAGUUCUUCCCUUGAUACUAAGUUGAUUAAUGACUAGUUGUGUGGAGCACUCAGAUUACUAAUAAUCUAAGAUUAUCAUCAUAAUCUUAUUUGCAAUUGUUUGAUUAUUUUCUUUUACGCUUUUGAGUACACCACUGGAUGUUUGAUCAUAUUUUUUUUGAAUGCAACGGAAAAUGGUAUAUCGUUGAGAAGCUAACACACAAUCUCCAUUCUCUUUGCAGAAUAUGUAGCAACUCGAGUAUCCGGAAGCAACUCAUAAUAGUCGUGAUAUGAUGUGCUUCACCACUCACCGAAAGAGUAGAUACCAAUAAAAAUAGGCACAAACUAUUCAUGGAAAUGAAGUCGUGAACAAAAACUUGAGACCUUGGUUCUAUUUUCACCCAAUUGUUGGGUGAAAUUUGAGUGGGCUAGCAGUGGAAAAAGUAGUAGCGUGAAUGCCUUUUGUGAAGCUAUGAAAUUGCGUUGUGAGGCAAAGGAUUAUCAGUUCUUAUGGAGGUUCCAUAAGAGUUGAAAUAGCCAGAGCAGACUAUAGAAGUUCUCUAAAUAUAUAUACACAUGUAAAUAAGCUUGUGGAGGUGGCCUAUUGUCUAUCUCUGAAAAAAGUUGUAUGAUCUACAUGGUUUUCUUAUGUAUAAGAAAUGGAAUUAAUGUAUGUAAAUAUUAGCAAGUAUAAAAUUCUUGUUUUCUCCUUGAAACA